GACGAACGCUGGCGGCGUGCCUAACACAUGCAAGUCGAACGGAAAGGCCCUGCUUUUGUGGGGUGCUCGAUUGGCGAACGGGUGAGUAUCACGUGAGUAUCCUGCCCUUGACUUUGGGAUAACUUCAGGAAACUGGGUCUAAUACCGGAUAGGAUCUCCUGCUGCAUGGUGGGGGUUGGAAAGUUUCGGCGGUUGGGGAUGGACUCGCGGCUUAUCAGCUUGUUUGUGUGGUAGUUGCUUACCAAGCCUUUGACGGGUAGCCGGCAUGAGAGGGUGAACGGGCACCUUGGGACUGAGAUAGGGACCAGAAGCCAACGGGAGGCAGCAGUGGGGAAUAUUGCACAAUGGGCGGAAGCCUGAUGCAGAGACGCCGCGUGCGGGAUGACGGCCUUCUGGUUGUAAACCGCUUUCGCCUGUGACGAAGCGUGAGUGACGGUAAUGGAUAAAGAAGCACCGGCUAACUACGUG
rnacentral:rRNA from 1 species